AAAGGGUGUGCCUUUCAACAGGUUGUCCUGUGGCCUACGUCUCAAAACUGUCGCCGCCGGUAAAUMAGCUCAGCCCUGAUCGUUAUCCGUAUAGAAACUUCUGAAGGAAAAAUCAGACGUGACCCUGUGGACAUUGCUGCCCUGCAAGGGCAGCUCCUGCAUGUAGCCUUCUCCGCUGCUAAAUAAUUCCUGUUCUUCCUCGAUGUGAAAUCCUGCCUCCACUGAAGUCAAUGAAAAUCUUGACAUCAACUUCAACAAGGUCAGGACUUCUCCC
rnacentral:lncRNA from 1 species